rnacentral:rRNA from 1 species
GUAGGGUGCGAGCGUUGUCCGGAAUUAUUGGGCGUAAAGGGCUCGUAGGCGGUCUGUCGCGUCGAAAGUGAAAACUCAGGGCUUAACCCUGAGCCUGCUUCCGAUACGGGCAGACUAGAGGUAUGCAGGGGAGAACGGAAUUCCUGGUAUAGCGGUGGAAUGCGCAGAUAUCAGGAGGAACACCGGUGGCGAAGGCGGUUCUCUGGGCAUUACCUGACGCUGAGGAGCGAAAGUGUGGGGAGCGAACAGGAUUAGAUACCCUGGUAGUCCACACCGUAAACGUUGGGCGCUAGGUGUGGGACUCAUUCCACGAGUUCCGUGCCGCAGCUAACGCAUUAAGCGCCCCGCCUGGGGAGUACGGCCGCAAGGCUA